UUCUGGAGAUUUAAAGACAAGCAAAUAACGAAGGAGAGGAGGCUGAAAACAUCGCAGAUGGAGCAAGAAGGGAAAUGAGAAGCUCUAAACAACUGUCUAAUCUAUAAAUCUAAGAGUCACCAAAAUUGGAUAUAUUUGGGCCCUUGCUCCAGGCCGACCAAGUGGACAGCCAUCUGUGAACGGUGUGAAGGUCAUUGUGACCCAGUGAUUCGUGUUCCAGGGGUUGCCAUCUUACAUGAGCUGAACUGUUUCUAACAGCAAUUAGUAAUAUACUUUACGGCUGGACUCAUGGACAUAGACGACAAUGGACCUGUCCCAUUCAGAUAAUUUGUGACAUUUUCAGAGGUCAUGUGAUCACCAGCUUGACUCACAGAAAAUCACUGUGUUUAAUGUGGUCAGUCCAUGGUCAGCUGACUUCCUAUGAACUACAGAAGGUCAUCAUCACCUUACAGACGGCCUCCUCUCCUAGUUUUCUCGGUAUGCUGCGGCUAUCUCUACAGAAUCCAGAUAUAGAUACCAGAUAUUCCUUCUAGAGCAAACGCUCAUGGGGAUUAUUGAGUAAGGAGCAAUAAAAGAAGGUUCACAUCUCACAUCAUGUUUUUUUAAAUGACUAAGGAGAAUGAGAAAGUGGUACCUAAGCAGAGAGAAUGUGGUACCUAAGAGAAUUUUGAGAUAGAAUCUGUCGAAUGAAUAGGGGACCUACACAAGGGGACAGUAAUGAUGAUGGUGACGAUAACCAUGAUGACCAACCUUGACAGUACGGGAAAGAGGAUGAACAAGCUGAACUCUCAGAAAGGCUGGCGAGGAUGGCAAAAUGUAUGUUUUUUUGGUUGUGCGCUGACAGGAAUCUUAAGCGCUUGAAGGAAAGAGAUGAGUACUUGAUGAUCACACUCUUAGACCCUCAGUAAAAAGUGAGAAUGAAGGGAUUUUUUUCACCUUCCAAGAAGGAGUAUUAAUUGGAUUUUAAUAGGGAGAAGCUACGCAGCCAGCUUGUCAUGGCUUUCCAGCAACAAACACCUGACUGCUGGCCGCUGCCUACUACUACCUCCACCAGUCUACCACUGUCUGCUGUCAGCUGGCUACUACAACUCCUACUGCUUCACCACUGCCUGCUGUCAGCUGGAUACUACUACUUCCACCAGUCCACCAUUGCCUGCUGUCAGCUGGCUACUACAACUGCCAUCAGUCCACCACUGCCUUCUGUCAGCUGCCUACUACUACUCCCACCAGUAUACCAAUGUUUAGAAAAAUCCAUUGCGUACUUAUCGGCAUGCAUCUUUUAACAAAAAGAGAUAUUUUACGCGCAUUUAUUUAUUUUUUUAUUUUAAUUAAUUUUUCUUACCAAAAAAAUUCCAUUUACCACAAUCCAUGCAAUUAUUUUUAAUACAACAAUUUAUUUUAGUGUUAAGAAGCAUAUUAAAUCCA